CGCAACGCAUCGCGAGCCCGAUCCACGCCCGCGGUCCAGGGCUCAGAGGAGAGAGAAGAAGGUCCGAAGGGCAACCUGGUAACUUCACAUCACUCGAUGGUCCGAUCUUCUCUGAUCAAGAUCCAACGCUCCACAUUUUUACGCCAUCGGACGGCCACCAUCGCAGCCGGUCAAGAUCCAACCGUAAUCAAGGCAAUUGUAAGAAUCAAUAAACACUAGGACAACACGGGAUCCUUCUGCAGCGUGAUCCAACAGACGAAAUCUUCCAACGCCUUGAUCGGAUGGUCCGCGAUGCAUCCGAUCUGAUCCCAUCUCUGCAGCA
rnacentral:lncRNA from 1 species